ensembl:snoRNA
GUGCCCUUUUAAGGUUGCUGCGGUACUUUAAGAGGCUAACACAGAAGGGUAAAUAAAGCAAGUCUCCAUAAAACCCAGAGACGAGGUCGGCAGAACUCCUCUUUGGAUCCUGUCUGGAGUCACAACU